CAGUGUCAUACUUCAAAACAAAACUUUACCCCGGUCUUAAGUUCAAAAGAUUAUAUAUACUAAUAACUUUAAUUACACGCAACCGAGAAAAAUUUCACAGCUAAUAAUAUAAGAAAGUAAAACCUGCAGUAGAGGCUAGAAGAAUUGGUUUCAACCACAACAAGUCUUCAAAAUGAAGGUGUUGGGUGCGCUGCUUGUCCUGCUAUUCAUCGAUUCAAUUAUUUGUGACCCCGAUAGAUUCGAAUCAUUUCUUCAUAAUUGCACAACAAGUACGGAAGCGCGCAAAGAGUUAACUAAACUUAGAACACAAGUAGACCAAUUUGAACCUAAGUGCUUUUACCAUUGCGUUUUUGAAGAUUUUGAAUUUAUUACCAAUGGCAAGAUCAACCAAAACAUUUUUAACACAAAUGCAGAGGACGCGGAAAAGGCGAAACCAUGCAAGGCCAUAGAGGAACCCGACAGGUGUGAGCUGGCAUACAAGUUCCAAGCAUGUGUCCACAAGCAAUUGAAUUUCUCAUUAUUUUAGUUGAAAUAAAAUGGUGGUCAUUUUAAGGCCAAAUGUUUUCAGUUCUGCAAUAUGGAUUCACUGCUGUCUUUAAAAUACAAACUAAUCAAUCCAGAAGCGCUUGUUUUCUUUUACAAGUAAAGUUCUACGGCCCAAGUUAUGUAUCGUUUUUGCCGAUAAUUUGUUGCUAAAUUGAGUUGGUUCCUGUUCGUAUUGCCAAGUGGACCUCUUUGGAGAUAAGUAUGUUAACUGGCUGGAGGAGCUAAACAGUCUCUUGUAAAUGAUAGCCAUGAAAUUUUCGAUGGCACGUAUCGACUUAUUUAAUCUAUACUAAGUACUUCGCCUCUAUUAUAGCCCUUUAUUAGUAGCUUUUUAGAGAAUGCAAAUCCAUACCCGCUGGCUAAUGAAAAUACGGAAAAUUAAAUAUUAAACACGAAUUUAAGCUAAUCAUCUCUAAAGCUUAUGCAAGGUGUCGUGUGAAUAAGGGGUAUAAAAGCAGUCAGUAAAACUCCGAACAGUGUCAUACUUCAAAACAAAACUUUACGAAAGUGUUCUCCUUUCACCCCGGUCUUAAGUUCAAAAGAUUAUAUUUACUAAUAACUUUAAUUAGACGCAACCGAGAAAAAUUCCACAGCUAAUAAUAUUAGAAAGUAAAGAAGAACAUUUGGUUUGAAACACAACAAGUCUUCAAAAUGAAGGUGUUGGGUGCGCUGCUUGUCCUGCUAUUCAUCGAUUCAAUUAUUUGUGACCUUCUGAAAUUAUUACCAAUGGCAAGAUCAACCAAAGCGGUUUUAACACAGCGGCAGAGGACGCGGAAAAGGCGAAACCAUGCAAGGCCAUAGAGGAUCCCGACAGGUGUGAGCUG